AAGCAUGUCAGAAGGACACUUUUUGGUAAAUUACUUGUAUCUUUCCUAAGCUUUAUAGAGGGAUUCACCUUCUUUCUGCCUAAAAGUUUGAACAUCCAUUCUAAGCUU